GUCUUCUUCGAUUCUGUUUUAUUAUCCUUAAUUUUAUUGUGUGAUGUGUUGUUUCAAUGUGCCACAGCAUACAUGGACUGGUCAGACAGCAACUCUGUGGAGUCAAUUCCCCUUCACCUGUAGGCAGCUCACCAGGAGCAGCUGUGCAUCUCAGCUCACCCUGAGUCCCGGAGAGAACACCAGGUGUCCUGCUCCUGCUCUAUCUUCUCUGCCUCGUUCUUCGGAGCCGGCGGAUUCUGUCAGCACUCCCAUAGCACUGGAGCCACAGAAAAGCCCACCUCCACGCCACUCCACCACCCAAGUCAAGGACCAGGAAACCAAACACCAAGACUUUCACAAGAAACUGACCUUUACUCAACAAAGUUCUACACAAGUGGAAGCUCACGCCACCUAGGCGCCAGUCCCCAGCACAGCAGUUACAGAUGGAUAGACCUGGGAGCCCACAGGGGAAUGGUAAUCAGACUCAGGAAAAUGGGGGGCGGGGGAAGGAGCUGCAGAUCAAGAUCAGUCUGUGUCCACAGCCCUGGGCAAGGAAGGUUAAGAAACUGAAACUUCAUUGUGUAAAAACCAACUAAAAAAUAAAUUAAAAAAUUAAAUAAUUUUUAAAAAAAAAUAAUAAAAUUUAAAAAAAAAAGGAAAA